rnacentral:lncRNA from 1 species
GCUAAUUCUUAUCUCAUAAGGUCCAUUGUCUUUUAAUUUAAUUUUCUUUCUAAAAAAAAUUAGAUCCAAUUGGAAAGGCCUCACACCCUAUAAGGCAAGUAGAGGGGGCGCCCAAACCUUAUUAGGCAAGAUGAGGGGGCACCCUCAUCCUAUAAGGCAAGAAGAGGGGGCUCUAACCUUUCACACCCCUUACAAUUUUUGUGCGCACA